rnacentral:lncRNA from 1 species
AUAAAAGUAGGAAUUUGGAUCGAAAAAUACAUUUUUUACGGAAAAUAUAGGUAAUCAAACACACUCUAAAUGCAGAUUUACCUUUAAAGUACUUUUCUAUACCUAACAAUAAACAACCAAUUAAAACAAUCAAUUCGACUGAAAAAAUAAUCUGUUUAUCAAUAAUCACAGAUUUACCAAUAAAAACAAUCAAUUCAAUUGUUCUUUGAUAAUGGAAGGAUUCUCUUUUUUCUUCGUGAUUUUGGAGUCUAUUAAAAAAAUAAUAAAAUAAAAAAUAAAAACCCUCUAAAGCUAGUGACCCACUAGGACCCAAUGUGGGUCCACCAAUGACUAACAUGACUCGUGUAGUUAGAUAUAACGCGAGGAGAGCCAAAGAGAGAGGGAUUGAACUAUAUAUUAACCAAGGUAAAAAAACAAAAUGGUAGAAAAAGAAAAUAUAAAUUCCACUGAGAGGGAUUGAACUAUAUAUUAACCAAGGUAAAAAAACAAAAUGGCAGAAAAAGAAAAUAUAAAUUCCACUGAGGGUUAGUGCAAUAAUAAUAAAUACAAAAAGCAUUCAAACCUCCUAUGCAGUUAGUAUUUAUCUGAUGCAGGCACCAGAUAUGAAUUAAUGCAGCUUAGAGAUGGAAUCCAGCCACCACGACACUUCACUGAGUGGAUGUGAACAGUUAAUAGCUACCAGAAAGUUAAUCAAUGUUAUCAGCGGGUUGUAAGAGAGCCCAACAUAACCUCAAAACAUGAGCGUGCAUAGAUAGCCACAGAACUGAUUAAUUUAAGUCACUUGACUUCUUACACAUCCUCAAAGCCAGUUUCCCAACCUGGGGCAGAGCUGCACUGAAUUUGGACAAAAAAAUUACCUGUUACUGCUACUGUAUGUUCAGAUAUUCAUGUGCAAAAGCAUUUCCGACCAUGGAUUUGACUGGUCUCUGCUCUAGCAAUAUUUAUUAAGUUGAGAUAUCUAUGAAAACUGGGAAUUAUGUUGUCUAUAAUACCAAAUAAGUAGCUCCUGUUCUUCUUGGUUGCUUUUAUUUGUUGUGUUCUUCUGAAAUUCUGCUCAGUCAUUUAAUUUCUCAUUGAAAAAGAGGAUUAUCGAACUCCACAUUCUCUCGAUAGUCGAAGUCCGAGGUCGAACCAUAGGGAAUUGGAAGGAAAUAAACUAUUCUAUGAGUGCUGGACGGUUGGUGGAAAUACAAUGGAGACGAACCCUAGAGCGUCGGGGAUUCACUUCGGAUAAAUGAGUAGAAAUUACUCUUGAUCUUUUAUUUAACUCAUAUGGAAAUCAACUAAAGAGUGAUCUCAUAUUGAAGAUAAAACAUUGAUUGCAAGUAUACUAAAAGAUAGAUCUUGAUAAUAUUUGAGAAAAUAUGUCAAAAUAAGUUGUUAAUAUAUAGAUUCUCUAAGCAUUUAUUGUGCUAAAAUUUGUUAACAAUAAAUCAAAGUUUAUAACAAAUCAAAACCAUUUGUAGAACAUAUACUUCAACCAAAUAAGAAGAUGAACAUUGAAGAACAAAGUGAAAGAUCAAAGACAAAUACUACACAUUCACCAAAGUUUUACCCCUAGCUCUAGCUAAUGAUUUAGAAAGACAUACUGAAAUGUUACAAAGAAAAUGAAGGAAACCAGAAUAUGAUGAAGAGGAAUUGAUUCUCUCAAAAUCUUGGUCAAGGUCCUCUUUUAUAGGCAAAGGAACAUCCAAAAUGCAAGUGGACAAUGCAACUUGUUUCUGUCCAACUUGAAGACAACUGAAAUAUGCAAAUUGGUGUCAAUUUUCAGAUACUUUGGUGCAGCGAAUUUGGACUUAUGAUCAACAGGUAAAUUGUUGCCACUUGAGUUAUCUUUCCAUUAGUGAAAAUGUCAUGUUAAUUGAAUCUCUAUAACUCCAAAUAUGACAAAAAACAAUGAGUACUGUUUCACAAGUAGAAAAGCUGUAUCCGACAGAUAACAAGCUGGACUUUGCAUGGUAAUUUUGGCUGCCUUGUGAUACGAAUUUGACUUCUUGCGAAACGUGAAAGUUGUAGAUACAUGCAUUAUCUUUCCAACCCAACUUGAAUCAUUGUGGUUCGAUGUCUGCAACUCAAGUUAUGAUCAUUUUACCGACAACUGCUUCUUGCUUGAGACAGUUUACUAUUCUUGAUUUUUAAACAUUUUUUUUCCUCUUGCUUCACUUGUUCUACCUUAAAAAUACAUUAAAUAAAUACUUUUUUAAAAGUAUAAUACCCAUGUCGACAUGUAUUUAAAUACGUAUUUCAGUUUAAUUGCAUUUUUAACCAUGUAUAUAUGUAAAUUGAAUUUACGGCAAGAAAAUUGAAAUUAGAGACUAACAUUAGUGAAUUUAAACAAAUUGAAUGUAAAAUGUCUUGUAAAUAAUAUAUCUUUGAAGCACUUUUAGACUAAUCAGACUCCCCAACCAUAUUGCUAGUCUCUAGCAAUAAAAAUUCAAAAAUAGUUCAAAUGAAAUAGCUUCUCGCAUUUGCCUUAGGAUUUGAAACUGUUUAACAAAAUUCUUUUAAGGUUUGCUAUCAAAAUGUAGUCUAACUUGUCCAAUGCUCGACCAACGUGUGUGUGCAUAAUCAAUUCAAUCAAUCACCUACUUUUUCGAAUUGGAUUCAUCCCAACCCUCAAUGGUCAAUUGUUUCUCUCUUCUCUAGUUGAAUGCACACCCCCAAACUUGAUUUUGUAACUAUUUUCCCAAGGCGUGAUUUAUGGUUAAAUUUAUAUACUAUUGCUCACCCUCUCUAGUUUGGUUAGAUUUUACUAAUUGUAGCUCAACACGAUAUAAAUGAGAAUUCCCCUUAAUUUUGACUAAUUCAACCUCCGAGAAUCAACUAAGCUACUAAUCCCUUAUCAAAGGUCUAAUUCUCUACAAUAAAUAUUUGGGACUUAAUCAAGACAUUUAGUCCGUCUUCUGUUUCAUGCACCUGUUUUAGUGCAAUACCCUUCAUUAAACACUUAUUCUCGAAAAUCGAUUUUUAACUUAAGAUUUUCACCUAAUUAUCAUCUCAUUGGUUUUAAGCAAUCCACACAAAAUUUAACAAAAUCCACAUCCAUCUCAAUGUCUCCCUACAACACAUUCUACAUAUUCUAUCCAUUGAUCCAAUCCAAAUCAAUUUUCAUGAUUAUUGUGCUCAACGUAAAUCAAUCUAACAUGAAAUAAAUCAAAGCAACAUCCCCUAGUCACAAUAAUAUAAAAACAAUUUCAAUGUGAAGAUUAAACAUGCAAAAUGUAUGAAGGACUACUAGGAGCAAAAAUUUGGAACAAAGGGUCGGGUUUUGAACUUUACCUGGAACUGCAUAAACUUGGUCGAAAUGAACCUUCAAUUUCAUUAGAGAGAAAAAAAUGACAAUAAAAGAAACACACCUAAAACAAACACAUAACAUUAUAAGCUGAAAAAACAAACAUACAAAAUAAAACAAUAAAGCAAUGGACUCUUCUAAUCUAGAGAAAUUCUCAAAAAACGGUUUCAAACGAUGACCAUUAACUUUAAAAAUAUUUCUUCAUUAAGCCUUCGUUGCAUUUCUCUUGUAGGUUUAGCAUAUUCCUCCAAAUAAAUCUUAUGUGUGCAAAUCAAAGGAUUAAUCCCCUUUAUAUCAGCUAUGGUUCAUCCUAAAACAUUUUUAUGCAUUUUUAAAAUUUAUAAAAAAUUGCCUAAAUUGCCUUCUUGGUGCACAUCAAGUUGGGAAGAAAUUAUUAUCGGAAAAGUUUCAUCUUCACCCUAAAACGAGUAUUUCAGAUUAGAUGGUAAUGGCUUCAAGUCGAGCUCUGGCAUUUGAACAGUUGAAAUCAUGGACAUCACUGUUGUGCUAAUUUUUCAAACUUUGAUUUCCAAGAAAUGGAUGACCUGUCAUUUGAUAAUAGAAUUUAUCAAAAAUGCUUUGUGUUGAACAUUAAGUUUCCUCUUGAUAGUGCACAAGUCCAUUAAAAAUUUUGCAUAUAUUCUUGAUUAAAAAAUUUUGCAUAUCCAUUAAAAAGUUUCCUCUUGACAGUGCAUAAGUCCAUUAAAAAUUUUGAUUGUAUCCAAUAAUGGUAUGUUAAUUUUAUAACUUGUUUGAAAAGUUCAAAAAUUUCAGAAUUACGGUUGAGUUUUGAAAUUGGUUGCAAUCGUUGAGGAAAUGGAAUAGGAAUGGGACAAUUUUCGACACUAGGAUCAGAAAUGAUUUUUUCCUCAAUUUUGGAAACAUCUUUUCUUGGGAUGAUUGAGACAUUGUUGAUUAUAUGUUUCUGAGAAUGGAGAAGGAAAAGGCUUUUUAAAAGUGUUCAUAGCAGUGGCUUGAUCAUGUAAAACUUUUGAAAACUGGGAUGUCAUGUACCUUCAACCUUUCUAGACAAACUAGCAAUCCUAGUAUUUAGAUUGUCAUCUUGCCAAGAUUGAGAAUUUUCAGUUAAAUGAUCUAAAAAUUCUAAAGCUUAAUCUUUAUCUAAAAAUUCACCAUUGCGAUGAUUUUUACAAAUUGUUUUGUUUCAGGAGUUAGGGAGGAUAAAAGAAACUUAUGGUACGCCAUUUUUCAUAACCAUGAUGUUUUCGCCAUGCCAAUCGACCUAGGUUUUAAAGAGUUAAGCCAAUUUAAACUUAACAAUUUCAUUCAGACAAGUUUGAUCGUUGGCACAUAAGUCCUCAAAUUCUUCAAGAUGCAAAUAUGGACUUUCGGAUUCUAAGCCAUGAAAAUUAGGAAGUAAUAGAAUCAUACCCGGCUUGAAUCGAAAAUUAUUAGCAUUAAGGGGGAAAAUGAAACAUGAAGGAGCAGAGAAUUUCGAGGAGGUUGCAAGUAAUCACGCAUGGUUCGAUCAGCCAUGGUGGAAGAUGUGAGUGAAUAUUUAGGUAAGUCAAAUAAAUUACUAAAUAAAUUACUAAAGAAAGUUUCACAAUUAUCUUUAACUAAACGAUGAGAAUUAAAUUCACGAUACCAAUUCAUAAAAUAACAUAAAAUAGAUAUAAAAAACGAAAAUUAAGUGGCACAGCCAACCAUAUAAAUAAUGUAAAGAACAAGCAUAGCCGGAUAUAAUAAAGAAACGGCAAAUCGGGAGGCUCGCUCGACCUUCCUUUAAGAGAAGAUUUAUGAAGAUUAUGAAAGAGAAGAAAACCUCAUGGAAAGUAGCAGAAAAUAAUCCUUGACGCAAAUCCCCCGGCAACGGCGCCAAAAACUUGCUACAACUUUAAGGUUGCAAACCCAAGUGCAGGUUGUCGUAAGUAGUAAACUCAGAAGUCCGAGGUCGAACCACAGGGAAUUGGAAGGAAAUCAACUAUUCUAUGAGUAGUAAAUGGUUGGUGGAAAUACAAUGGAGAAGAACACUAGAGUACUGAAGAUUCACUUCAGAUAAAUGGGUAUUCUAUUACUCUUGAUCUUUUAUAUACU